rnacentral:rRNA from 1 species
GGCGGACGGGUGAGGAAUACAUCGGAAUCUACUCUGUCGUGGGGGAGUAACGUAGGGAAACUUACGCUAAUACCGCAUACGACCUACGGGUGAAAGCAGGGAUCUUCGGACCUUGCGCGAUUGAAUGAGCCGAUGUCGGAUUAGCUAGUUGGCGGGGUAAAGGCCCACCAAGGCGACGAUCCGUAGCUGGUCUGAGAGGAUGAUCAGCCACACUGGAACUGAGACACGGUCCAGACUCCUACGGGAGGCAGCAGCA